GUGACAGACCUGUUAGAUAAUGCUAAUGGAUGAUGGUAAAUACAGGUUUUUAAUUCCAUCAAAAAGACUGAGCUAUAAGGAAAUGGAGACAGAACUGAGCAUUUCUCAGAGUCCUCGGUGAUCAUGAGGGAGCCGGUUGUGCCCUGGAAAGAAUUCUUGGAAGAGACUGCUGAGAAGACAACUUGCCAAAUUGCCAGUUUCACAGUACAGAAUCCAAGACUGGAGGGCUCUCUUUGAGACGAUGGAGUGGACUGUUGGGGGUUUGUUGGUCACUUAUACUGCAAAGCUCUGAUAGGGUUUUGUGUGAGUGAAGCUGCUGAGUGAGGAACAUGCUCACUGCAACCAAAGCUGGAGGAUGUUGGGUAAAGGUGGCAAGGAUUGUUGGCUAGAAUUCAAUCCAGGACCUGAUCAACCACUGAUGGAUCACUUGAACCAUUGAACCCAAAAGAAGAAAUAAUAAUAAUAAAAAACAUAAUGGAAAAAUA